GAUGAACGCUGGCGGCGUGCCUAAUACAUGCAAGUCGAACGCUGGAAAUCUAGCUUGCUAGAUUGAAGGAGUGGCGAACGGGUGAGUAAUACAUAAGCAACCUACCCACGAAGACUGGGAUAAUCUCUGGAAACGGGGACUAAUACCGGAUAGGUAAUCGGAAGGCAUCUUCUGAUUAUUAAAGGUUAAAAACACUGGUGGAUGGGCUUAUGGCGCAUUAGUUAGUUGGUGAGGUAACGGCCCACCAAGACGAUGAUGCGUAGCCGGCCUGAGAGGGUGAACGGCCACAUUGAGACUGAGACACGGCCCAGACUCCUACGGGAGGCAGCAGUAGGGAAUUUUCAGCAAUGGGGGAAACCCUGACCGAGCAACGCCGCGUGAGUGAUGACGGCCUUCGGGUUGUAAAGCUCUGUUGUAAGGGAAGAACGGUAGAUAGAGAAUAGCUAAAUGACGGUACCUUACCAGAAAGCCACGGCUAACUACGUG
rnacentral:rRNA from 1 species